rnacentral:misc_RNA from 1 species
UUUUGAGGUUCAUGGUCGAAGGAUCCGUGACUUUAGACCAAAGUGGCCUUCAUCUUCAUUUGUUUCAUCUGAGGGAUUGGUGACGGCAAUGGCCUAUCGUCUGCCUCAUGUGGUUAUGGGCGACAGGUCAGGAAACAUUCGCUGGUGGGAUGUUACUACUGGACAGUCGUCCUCAUUUAACACCCAUAGGGAAGGCAUCCGUAGAAUCAAGUUCUCACCAGUUGUUCCUGGAGAUCGUAGUCGUGGGCGUAUUGCCGUUCUGUUUUAUGAUAAUACAUUUUCGGUAUUUGAUCUGGACUCACCUGAUCCAUUAGCCAAUUCACUUUUACAACCUCAAUUUCCUGGAACUCUUGUAUUGGAG